rnacentral:lncRNA from 1 species
GACACACUGAGACCUUUCACAUCUCACUGUCACUUCUUGGAAGGGCUCUCUACCUCGUCUGCCUGCUGAGCAACCUCUUGGGGAGACGCGGGCACUCUUGAGUCACUGAACUUGAGCUAUUUGGUGUUGGGAGCUUAUAGCUUCAUUGCACUGUGUGUGGCAUUUGGGUCCUGUUUGGCAGCAAUGACUGCCUUUCUGUUUAGUGUCUGUGUGCUAUGAAGAUUGCACACAGGGGUCCAGAUGCAUCCUGUUUUGAGAAUGUCAAUGGAUACACCAGCUGCUGCUUUGGAUUUCACCCAUUGGUGGUAGUUGACCUGCUGUUUGGAAUGCAGACAAUUUAAGUGAAGACAUAUCCAUAUAUGUGGCUCUGUUACAAUGGUGAAAUCUACAACCAUAAGAAGGUAGGGAAAAAGAAGCCAGAUGUCUGGAUGCGAUUAAACUUCAGAGGUUGUUGGUUACGAUGACAUUAUGUAUUCUGUAUCAUGCUUUUUACUUUGCAAAGCAUUCUAUGUUAUCUCAUUUGCUCUAAGUGUGUAGAUAGGGAACUGAUGAAUAAAAUGGUGAGUGAAAUCACUUGGUCACAAAAAAAGUGAUAAAAAU